rnacentral:rRNA from 1 species
AUUGAACGCUAGCGGGAUGCUUUACACAUGCAAGUCGAACGAGUCGCGGACGUGUGAGUAAUAUAUCGGAACGUGCCCAGUAGCUGGGGAUAACUACUCGAAACAGUGGCUAAUACCGCAUACAUUUGGAGCGGCCGCUAUCGGAUUAGCUCGUUGGUGGGGUAAAGGUUCACCAAGGCAACGAUCCGUAGAUGGUUUGAGAGGACGACCAGCCAAAAUGGGACUGAGACACGGCCCAGACUCCUACGGGAGGCAGCAGUGGGGAAUUUUGGACAAGGGGGGAAACCCUGAUCCAGCCAUCCCGCGUGUAUGAGAAGGCCUUCGGGUUGUAAAGUACUUUUGGCAGAGAAGCGGUAUCUGCAGAAUAAGCACCGGCUAACUACGUGCCAGCAGCCGCGGUAAUUC